rnacentral:rRNA from 1 species
UAAAAAUUUAAUUAAAUAUAUUUAAGUAGUAUUAGUUAAGAUCUUGAAAUUUAAAAAAUUUGGCGGUAUUUUAGUCUAUUCAGAGGAACUUGUUUUUUAAUUGAUAAUACACGAUGUAUCUUACUUAAUUUUGUUUAUAUUAAACAGUUUAUAUAUCGUCGUUUAGAAUAUUUUAUAAAAAUAAUAAUUUUCUUAAUUUUUAAUUUAAAGUAUAUCAGAUCAAGAUGUAGCUUAUAGUUAAGUUUAUAAUGAGUUACAAUUAAUUUAUUAUUGGAUAUAAAUUUUUAAUUAUUUAUUGAAAUUGGAUUUGAUAGUAAAUUUAUAUAGAUUAAUAUGUUGAUUAUAGCUCUAAAAUAUG